UUUCUGCUUGCUUCAAUACUGUACUAUGGCAUCAUACUUGUACUAGUUUAUGGGGAAAAAAUCCUUCUUAGAACCCCCUUUUUCUCUGAGUGUGUGCUCAGCUUCCCUGGAUUUGAAGACUAGUAGCUUCAGGCUUCCUGAAGGAGAAAGGGAAGCUUCAGAAGUGUACUGCUCAUGUGCUGCUGACACAGCAUGGGUGGAUUUGUGUGAAGGGAAGUGGAGAGGGGAGGACAAUCCCUGUGUGAGAACCACCUUCAGAACAAAAGCUGAGACUUCAAAGCGGGUGAAAAAACCUCUGUAACACUUCUAAAAUGUUAUAAUAUAUGAAGGGAAAAUAACAUGCCCAUUUACAUUUCUUUGUUCUUAUUUAUGCUUUCACUUAAUAU